rnacentral:tRNA from 1 species
GCGCCUGUAGCUCAGUGGAUAGAGCACCCGCCUCCUAAGCGGGGGGUCGUGAGUUCGAAUCUCGCCAGGCGCGCCA